ACAGAUCGUUCGAGUUUGAUCCUGGCUCAGGACGAACGCUGGCGGCGUGCCUAACACAUGCAAGUCGAACGGGGUAAUCCUUCGGGAUUACUUAGUGGCGAACGGGUGAGUAACGCGUGAGGAACCUACCUUUCAGUGGGGGACAACAGUUGGAAACGACUGCUAAUACCGCAUAACAUGUACGGACCGCAUGGUCUGUACAUCAAAGCCUUAUGUGCUGAAAGAUGGCCUCGCGUCUGAUUAGCUAGUUGGUGAGGUAACGGCCCACCAAGGCGACGAUCAGUAGCCGGACUGAGAGGUUGAACGGCCACAUUGGGACUGAGAUACGGCCCAG
rnacentral:rRNA from 1 species